GUGUCUGCUUGCAAACUUAUAUACGGUGCUGCACGGCUGUCGUCAGCUCGUGUCGUGAGAUGUUGGGUUAAGUCCCGCAACGAGCGCAACCCUCGUGUUUAGUUGCUAACAGUUCGGCUGAGAACUCUAAACAGACUGCCUACGCAAGUAGGAGGAAGGUGAGGACGACGUCAAGUCAUCAUGGCCCUUACGUCCAGGGCUACACACGUGCUACAAUGGGAUAUACAAAGAGCGGCAAUACGGUGACGUGGAGCAAAUCUUAUAAAAUAUCUCCCAGUUCGGAUUGUAGUCUGCAACUCGACUACAUGAAGUUGGAAUCGCUAGUAAUCGUAGAUCAGCUAUGCUACGGUGAAUACGUUCCCGGGUCUUGUAACACACC
rnacentral:rRNA from 1 species